rnacentral:rRNA from 1 species
AUAGCUCACUGGUCGAGUCGGCCUGCGCGGAAGAUGUAACGGGGCUAAACCAUGCACCGAAGCUGCGGCAGCGACACUAUGUGUUGUUGGGUAGGGGAGCGUUCUGUAAGCCUGCGAAGGUGUGCUGUGAGGCAUGCUGGAGGUAUCAGAAGUGCGAAUGCUGACAUAAGUAACGAUAAAGCGGGUGAAAAGCCCGCUCGCCGGAAGACCAAGGGUUCCUGUCCAACGUUAAUCGGGGCAGGGUGAGUCGACCCCUAAGGCGAGGCCGAAAGGCGUAGUCGAUGGGAAACAGGUUAAUAUUCCUGUACUUGGUGUUACUGCGAAGGGGGGACGGAGAAGGCUAUGUUAGCCGGGCGACGGUUGUCCCGGUUUAAGCAUGUAGGCUGAUUGUCCAGGCAAAUCCGGAUAAUCAAGGCUGAGGUGUGAUGACGAGGCACUACGGUGCUGAAGUAACAAAUGCCCUGCUUCCAGGAAAAGCCUCUAAGCAUCAGGUAACAUCAAAUCGUACCCCAAACCGACACAGGUGGUCAGGUAGAGAAUACCAAGGCGCUUGAGAGAACUCGGGUGAAGGAACUAGGCAAAAUGGUGCCGUAACUUCGGGAGAAGGCACGCUGGUGUGUAGGUGAAGUCCCUGCGGAUGGAGCUGAGACCAGUCGAAGAUACCAGCUGGCUGCAACUGUUUAUUAAAAACACAGCACUGUGCAAACACGAAAGUGGA